UACGUAGGGGGCGAGCGUUGUCCGGAAUCAUUGGGCGUAAAGGGUUCGUAGGCGGUAAUGCGUGUCAGAUGUGAAAUCUUGUGGCUUAACCACAUCGAGCAUUUGAAACUGCAUAACUUGAGUGGAGGAGAGGUAAGUGGAAUUUCUAGUGUAGCGGUGAAAUGCGUAGAUAUUAGGAAGAAUACCAGUAGCGAAGGCGACUUACUGGCCUCUAACUGACGCUGAGGAACGAAAGCGUGGGUAGCAAACA
rnacentral:rRNA from 1 species